rnacentral:ncRNA from 2 species
ACACAGGGCAAUGUAUCUGGUGUCCAUGGCGUGCUUGAGCACCCAGGGCUGAAACGGGAAUGAGGAAGGGCGGACCCAAUCGCGGCGCCCUGGCCUCAACCGCCCCCGCGACUGUGAGCGGCGAGCGACCUUUCAACACCCCACUGAGCGUUCCCGAUGGGACCGGCGCUUGGGAAGGGGAAAGGUCCGCAUCGACCCGCGAGUCAGGAGACCGGCCAGAUGCGAGCAACGAUC